UCCCUGGUGGUUCAGUGGUUAAAACUCCACGCUUUGACUGCUGAGGGCCCAGGUUCGAUUUCUGGUCCGGGAA
rnacentral:tRNA from 1 species